CCACAACUCAUGAGAUCACAACCUGAAUGGAAACCAAGAGUGGGAUGCCUAACCGACAGUCAUCCAGGCGCCCCAAAUUAACAUUUGUUAAGUAAAACUCUUGGGAUGUUUGAUGGUGAGCCCAGGUGCUAUAAGAGGCCACAAGGAAAAUUGGAAAUAGAGAGUUCAUUACUCACAGGUCCUUGGAGGUCCAUGACAGAUUUUGAAAGUAGGAGAGGAGUGAUAGCAUGAAUACAUUGAUUGUUACUAUAAGUGCAGCUCAUAGCCUGACUGCAGGUAAGGAGGCAAAUAUAUAUAAAAUAGUUUGGGACAAUUUAUUGUAGAGGGCGUCUAGGAAAGGUUAAGUUGUAGUUACAUCUUCUGUUUUGUUAGUCGGAAAAGUAUGUUACACAUUUUAGGAUUCUCUUCUAAAGUUAAAAAAAAAGUUUGCAUAUGGUGUAAACCCUCAGCUAAUUGAGAAAACUCACCUAUUCAGAAGACACAGCUUUAGUAGUUCCUGGAAGGAGUGAGAAACCCUUAUUGAUUCGGAAAUGAAGCAUAGUGUUUGUUUUUUUAUCCCUUGUUUUCGACAAAACAGAUGAAAUAAUAGUGAAAUUGUCAUUGCUUAGACUGGUGUAGGUGUCAGUAGUACUGUUGGGAAAGGGCAGUAAGCCAUAAUAGAGGAGUUGGCACAUCUAGGGGGACAUAACACCUGAGGUGGUGGCCAACAGUAUAAUACAAUUUUCAGUGUGUGGGCUUUCCGAGGGAACUGCAGAGUGGAAGAUACUUUCAGGGUAGUACUAAGUUGUUACUUUGCUUUUACCGUGUUGAUAUCUGCACUGAUGGUGUCAAAGCAGUGGAAAAUAAAUCUGCUUCUGCCUGAGUACAGAGGUACCAAAUU